CGGACGGGUGAGUAAUGUCUGGGAAACUGCCUGGUGGAGGGGGAUAACUACUGGAAACGGUAGCUAAUACCGCAUAACGUCGCAAGACCAAAGAGGGGGACCUUCGGGCCUCUUGCCAUCGGAUGUGCCCAGAUGGGAUUAGCUAGUAGGUGGGGUAACGGCUCACCUAGGCGACGAUCCCUAGCUGGUCUGAGAGGAUGACCAGCCACACUGGAACUGAGACACGGUCCAG
rnacentral:rRNA from 1 species